rnacentral:ncRNA from 1 species
GAGAAGGGAAAUCGGCAAAUUGGAUCCCUAACUUCAAAAGAAGGAUUGUCUCCAGGGCAGAGUCAGACAAUCCGCUAUCAGAUACGUAUCAGUCCAGUUGGUUUCUUUGCUUUUUUGUGUUCUUUGAUGCACAUUAUUGUGGAGUUACUGGACUCUAACUGUGAUCUAUCAUGAGCGCCUUCAGCUGUUAGUGUUGUAUGCCUAGCAACACGCGUGGACUUGUUCUGCAAUGCUUUAAGCGGUUGUGAUUCCAUUGUUUGGCGCACGAUGGCUAACUCAGAAAUGAAACAGAUAAGGGGAAUCCGACUGUUUAAUUAAAACAAAGCAUUACAAUGUCCACUGACCGAUUAUGAUACAAUGUGAUUUCUGCCCAGUGCUCUGAAUGUCAGAGUAAAGAAAUUCAAAUAAGCGCAGGUAAACGGAGGGAGUAACUAUGAAGUCAGUUAUUUCAAUAUAUCCAUUUUUGUGAUAAAUGCUGAGCAUCACAGCAGAAUUCUCUUUCUAUCUC